GAAGGCGCUAUUCAAGCAAAGGACUUCCAGACAUAGCCAUUUCCUGUCCUAGCCACAUUCCAGAAUUCCCCCUGAUAGGCUGGAUUUGAAUGGACUGGCAUGCAGGAGCUGAGGAUGAUGCCACCUCAAAUAGAAGCAUCCACAGCAGCCUCAAGGCAGGUCUCCGACCCUCGAGUGCAGUGGAAAUACGAAAACGAACACAGCACAAGGACCGGGACAGAAUCAGGAAUUACCAGACGGAAGGGAAGGACCAGCGAUAAGGGCAGGAAGUUCCAAGAAAGGAUCCGAGGCAAAAGGCUGACUGAUGAGUCUCAGGAUACAAAUAAUUCAAUCAAAGGAGUGGACCAGAAGCAGAAACCAGGGGCCGCCCGAGAGCGGAAGAGACGGAGACUGUGGUUUCAGAGGGUGAGGCCGAGGAGUGGGUGUCCACGGGAAGCUCGUGACCCUCCCCGAAGGGGACGGUGCCUGCCAGCCGGCAUCAAUAUGAACAUAGUGAUGAUCG